UACGUAGGGUGCAAGCGUUAUUCGGAAUUACUGGGCGUAAAGCGUGUGUAGGCGGUUUGUUAAGUCUGUUGUGAAAGCCCCGGGCUCAACCUGGGAAUGGCAAUGGAUACUGGCAAGCUAGAGUGCGGUAGAGGGUAGUGGAAUUCCCGGUGUAGCGGUGAAAUGCGUAGAGAUCGGGAGGAACACCAGUGGCGAAGGCGGCUACCUGGACCAGCACUGACACUGAGGCACGAAAGCGUGGGGAGCAAACAGG
rnacentral:rRNA from 1 species